GUGGUAGCUUGCAACUGUUCUGCCAGGCCCUGUAGGGCAUCCCUGGUGUAAUUAACAAAUCGUUGUUGAUUGUAAUAGAUAUAGUUAAUCCAAUUGACAUUCUUGUUGGCUGUGAUCAUUGGAAUUAAGGAUUCGAACCCAGCUGUUACUUCAUCUCUUGCUUUAAAUUCAUUAGGCACCCCCCUUGGCACACCUAUGGCAUCUAUGUAAACAUGUGGGUCAAAACUACCACGGAUUAGGGCCUCCCUUUUAGUUCUAUGGCUUGUAUGUGUGUGGUCUGACUCCUCAUGAAAGCCAUCAGGGAUAAUGUGAAUGGGCAUUAUGGCUUUUGUUAGUGUACAUUCUCCCCACCACAGCCCCACUAGCUGGG